rnacentral:rRNA from 1 species
AGUGAACGCUGGCGGUAGGCCUAACACAUGCAAGUCGAACGGCAGCACAGUAAGAGCUUGCUCUUACGGGUGGCGAGUGGCGGACGGGUGAGGAAUACAUCGGAAUCUACUUUUUCGUGGGGGAUAACGUAGGGAAACUUACGCUAAUACCGCAUACGACCUACGGGUGAAAGCAGGGGAUCUUCGGACCUUGCGCGAUUGAAUGAGCCGAUGUCGGAUUAGCUAGUUGGCGGGGUAAAGGCCCACCAAGGCGACGAUCCGUAGCUGGUCUGAGAGGAUGAGGAGGCGCGCGGGAACGGAGACACGGUCCAGACUCCUACGGGAGGCAGCAGUGGGGAAUAUUGGACAAUGGGCGCAAGCCUGAUCCAGCCAUACCGCGUGGGUGAAGAAGGCCUUCGGGUUGUAAAGCCCUUUUGUUGGGAAAGAAAAGCAGCAGGUUAAUACCCCGCUGUUCUGACGGUACCCAAAGAAUAAGCACCGGCUAACUUCGUG